rnacentral:rRNA from 1 species
UGGGGNNAAUCCCUGAUAAAUGAAGAAUCCUGGAAUGGGUCUNCNNUNNANGGGCGUCUAGGGCAUGCUUCUAGGCGCCGCCCAAGGAUGGGGCCGCGGCCGAUCAGGUUGUUGGCGAGGUAACGGCUCACCAAGCCUUUAACCGGUACGGGCCGUGGGAGCGGUAGCCCGGAGAUGGGCACUGAGAUAAGGGCCCAGGCCCUACGGGGCGCAGCAGUCGCGAAAACUCCGCAAUACACGAAGGUGUGACGGGGCUAUCCCGAGUGCCGUCCGCUGAGGAUGGCUUUUCCACGCUGUAAGGAGGCGUGGGAAUAAGGAGAGGGCAAGUCUGGUGUCAGCCGCCGCGGUAAUACCAGCUCUCCGAGUGGUGGGGGUGCUUAUUGGGCCUAAAGCAUCCGUAGCCGGUUCGGCAAGUCCUCCGUUAAAUCCAGCGAUUCAAUCGUUGGACUGCAGGGGAUACUGCCGAGCUUGGGGGCGAGAGAGGCCGACGGUACUCUCGGGGUAGGGGUGAAAUCCUAUAAUCCCGAGAAGACCACCAGUGGCGAAGGCUGUCGGCUAGAACGCGCCCGACGGUGAGGGAUGAAAGCUGGGGGAGCGAACCGGAUUAGAUACCCGGGUAGUCCCAGCUGUAAACUAUGCAGGCUAGGUGUUGGAGCGGCUACGUGCCGCUUCGGUGCCGCAGGGAAACCGUUAAGCCUGCCGCCUGGGGAGUACGGCCGCAAGGCUGAAACUUAAAGGAAUUGGCGGGGGAGCACCACAAGGGGUGAAGCUUGNGGUUUAAUUGGNUUCNACGCCGGG